ACAGAUCGUUCAGAGUUUGAUCCUGGCUCAGAUUGAACGCUGGCGGCAUGCUUUACACAUGCAAGUCGAACGGCAGCGAAGAGAAGCUUGCUUCUCUGUCGGCGAGUGGCGAACGGGUGAGUAUAGCAUCGGAACGUGCCAAGUAGUGGGGGAUAACCAAGCGAAAGUUUGGCUAAUACCGCGUAAGCUCUAAGGAGGAAAGUAGGGGACCGCAAGGCCUUACGCUAUUUGAUCGGCCGAUGUCGGAUUAGCUAGUUGGUGAGGUAAUGGCUCACCAAGGCGAUGAUCCGUAGCGGGUCUGAGAGGACGACCCGCCACACUGGGACUGAGACACGGCCCAG
rnacentral:rRNA from 1 species